rnacentral:rRNA from 1 species
UACUGGCGUUAUUGGUUCCUCCCUUCUGAAGAACCACGAUGUCAUUAAUUUGGUGUCGCGGGGAAUCAGGACUGUUACUUUGAAAAAAUUAGAGUGUUUAAAGCAGGCUCGCGCUUGAAUACAUUAGCAUGGAAUAAUGAAAUAGGACGUUUGAUUCUAUUUUGUUGGUUUCUGGGAUCGACGUAAUGAUUAAUAGGGAUAGUUGGGA